rnacentral:rRNA from 1 species
CCUACGGGAGGCAGCAGUGAGGAAUAUUGGUCAAUGGGCUUACGCCUGAACCAGCCAAGCCGCGUGAGGGAAGACUGCUCUAUGGGUUGUAAACCUCUUUUGUCAGGGAGCAACGCCGGCUACGUGUAGCCGGACUGAGAGUAUAUGAAGAAAAAGCAUCGGCUAACUCCGUGCAAGCAGCAGCGGUAAUACGGAGGAUGCGAGCGUUAUCCGGAUUUAUUGGGUUUAAGGGGUGCGUAGGCGGAAUGCCAAGUCAGCGGUAAAAUCGCGGGGCUCAACCUCGCUCCGCCGUUGAAACUGGCGUUCUUGAGUGGGCGAGAGGUAUGCGGAAUGCGUGGUGUAGCGGUGAAAUGCAUAGAUAUCACGCAGAACUCCGAUUGCGAAGGCAGCAUACCGGCGCCCAACUGACGCUGAAGCACGAAAGCGUGGGUAUCGAACAGGAUUAGAUACCCUAGUAGUC